GAUAAAAAUAACAGAAUCAAACUAUGAGCAUGAGAACAUGUCAAAGUAUUUAAUCUCGAUUAUGAUGUAAUGUGAACAAAUAUUAUUAAAUAGGACACAAGUAAUAAUUAGAAACACACGCAGGUUACUUAUGAAGUUAUUUAAUAUCUUUUAUUUCUACUACACAUACCCUGUAACGUAUCAAUCAGUUCAGUAGAAUUAAUAAAGUAUCGUUCUAAGAAAAUAUAUGAUCUUUUAAAAUCACUGGACUAUAUAGAAUGAUAAAUUAGUUUAGUAUCAUUAAAUUAUCAUAAUAUCACACCACACAUGGAUGGCGCAGUAAGCAACGACGCCACUAUAUAAACUGUGAUAAGAAGGGGGCACGUGACAGUUCCAAUUACCAUAACGUGUUUUGACUGUUCUAAAUGAGUUCUCGUUGAUUUGAAAACGAAAUGUUAAACUGCAAAAAAGUGAAACUACGGGACACAAAAAUGUCAGUUCUGCGCUCAGCAUUCGGGAAGUAAUGGAAUGAAAGUUUCGAGGACCAAAACACUCACGUCAUCAUUAGUCUAGACAUAAUUGAUCACGAAGAGACUUCCGCUUUAACAGAAGAUAAUGCUGAAGAAGGUACCUGAAAACAGUCCCAGACUGUCUGCUCAGACAUUACGCAUGAUUAGGGUGAAAACCAGACUGUUUCACAGAUCCUACAGCUACCUCGACAACGCUUUUCUUUGAGAUCAUGUUUAACCACGAGCAGCGACCCCUACGAAAACAGUAACGAUAACACAAAAAACUCUUAUCACGCGGUCAACAUCUUUCUAGGCUGUAGUACAGUGCCACGUACAUGUUUGUUGCACCACAACCCCAUCUUUGGUAGUGUCUUACACGAUAUAACUGAGGAAGGA